AGCUUUGCGCAGUGGCAGUAACAUAGCUGAUGAGGUUCAUCCGAGGCGCGUUUAUUGCUAGUUGAAAACUAUACCCAAUACCCCGCCCUGUGGACGUGUAAACCGUUCGCUGUGGCAAUUUUUGAUGGGUUCCCCAGAAC
rfam:Ciona savignyi cont_64700, whole genome shotgun sequence.